AUGGGCAGUGGGAAAAGCAGCUCCUUAGAUAUGUGUAAAAAGAGGAGAAAAGCCAGCGAAAAUGACCCGGAAGAACUUGUAUCCUAAAGGAAAGGCCUCUUUCUAGCUGGCAGGAACAUGCUAUUUGGGGGAGCCGACGGCGGCGGCAUAGACGAGGCUGGACUAAGGUAGGAGUAGGCGGAAGGUCCUGGGUCCAGGAAGCAAGUGGGAAGCGAGGACAGGCAGAAUACCACCGGACUUUAGGCUCAGCAAGUUUUCGUUUCAGAAUUCUUUCUGGCUAGAGCUGGUGACACAUACUGGAGCCUCAGCCCCUGGCCAGGCUGGUGUGGAGUGAGCCCCGAGGCCAGGAAUUCCUUUCUGUACAAUAAAAGGCAAUAUCAGCUGCCUAGGAGAGGGAAGGGAUGGCGUGAGUGGGCUGAAGGGGGGGGUUGAGGGGUUGGGAAGAGGGUGCCUGUCUGGAAUACACGGAGGGAUACCAGGGAAUCGUGCAUCUCAGGCUCCGGAUAUCCCCAGCUUAAGGGGGUUUUCUGGAGAGAUGAAUCGGCAAAGAAACUGGUCAACAUCUUAUGAUCCCUGAGGAGUGGCAGCCGAAGUGAUGAGUCUUAGUAUUUCAGAAACACAGUAAAGAAAAUGGAGCCAAGCUGGCGGUCCGGAGGAAGACGAAGGGAGCACUGGGCUGCUGGCGGGAAAGGUGAGGAAGAGUGACCUUCUGAGAUGGGAUAUCCAAGACUAAGGGUCCUGCAUUUCAACCACUACACUCUAAUUCCUUGGCUUAUUUUCUCCUAAAAGAACUCAGAAGAUACCAACUUUGAAUCAGUUUGCAGCAUUGCAGGAUCUACUCUGGGAGGGUGACGAAGUGCCCAGGGCCCUGCUGACCAGCGUCCACAGACCCAGCAGUACUGACACAGCCCGGCUGACCAGGGAGUAGAGUGGAUGCUGAUGCUUGAUCUAUGGAAGCAACACUGUAGGGUGUGCUGGAUGCCGCCCUCCAUGCACAUUGUGGCUUCUGGCUGCACCCUGGCUCAUUGCCUGCAGUCCUGCAGGUGACAAACCCUCCCUGGUGAUGAUUCCCUGAAGUUCAGGUGAGGUUCUGGACCAGCAGGUCCCAGCAUCUGUCCACGCUCCACAACUCCAGAGGUUUAUGGCAGCCCAGGUAGGGUUAAUUCCCGUCCCUCUUUGCUGCUACACUCUCAAUACUCUGAUGGCCUGUCUUUGUACAUGGCUUAAGUUGGUAGAUCCUCUUUUUAAAAAACUUAGGAAUUCUGUGCUAGUGCUCAGUAGCGUUUCAGAACGAUUGCUAGUGGCUUUAAACAGUUCGAUAAGGCAGCAUAACAAAUACUUCAGGGCCCGGGAAUGAAAGCAGAGGGCAUCUGGUUUUUAGAGGAGGGCGAGCUGAACGUGAAGAGGCCUUCCUGGUGGGAGCCUGCUGGGUCCCUCCUCCAGCCUAGUGGAGGAAAAGGGAAGAUGCAGCGCUGUGUUCACAAGAGAAAACAAAACGCUAGCUCCAGAGAGUGUUAAUUUCUGCUACAAACACCGGGAGAAACAUUCUCCUUGGAGUCCUUUCUGAAAGGAUGCAUACAGGUAUUUAAAAAAAAAAAUAUCUCUAAACAUCCUCCUACACUGUAGGACCUACAGGAAGUACUGUAGUGACUUCCAUGUUAGUAGACCAGAGGGAAAACGGGAGGGGUGUGGUCAAGAACAAGGCCAUUCCAUAGGGGUCUCAUGAUCCAGUCUUGAAGCCUCUCUGGGUCUAGGCCCUCGGGUUAAAUGACUCUGCAGCUCUCUGCUCAAAGCUUUUUAAGGAAAAUUGAUCUAUUUUUUUAAAUGUGUAUGGAUGUUUUUCCUUCAUGCCUGACUUUGCACCACAUGCAGCCCUGGUGCCCAUGGAGUCUGGAAAAGAACAUUGGAUCCCCUGGCACUGAUGUUACGGUCAGUUGUGAACCACCAUAUGGAUGCUAGAAACUAAACCUGGGUCCUCUGUAAGAGCAACAGUGCUCUUAACUGAUGAACCCUCUUUCCAAGCCCCAUUCUUCAGAUUUUAGACACCGUGGAGUAACCCCGAGUUCCAAGAUUAAGCAUCUGCUAGGCUUCUGGGGCACAGUGUUGCUGCGUGGUCAGCUAGAUCUUCUGCAUGUGUUUAAUAAGCAAGCAAGCCGGGGAGCUAUUGACAAGUUCUUAUUAAGCCCGAGUUACCUACCAAGGGCAUAUGGUGGACAGAAGGUCUGGCAUGCUCAGAUUCUUCACAAAGAAUAAUUUGGUAUUUGUUCUAACAAGGUGAUCUACAACAGAUAGCCUUAAUGACUUUACCCUGAAAAAAUUUUAAAUCUUUUAUAUAUAACCAAUUGCCUAUUUAACCCAUUAAAUGAAUCUCAGUAAAGCACCCAUAGAAUAAGACUACACGUAAGGGAUGUAUCUGUCUUAUGUGUAUGAGUGUGUAUAUUUGUGUAAGGUGUAUUUGCGUGUGUGUUAAAAAGUUGAUGGUUGGAUUUAGAACUCCUGGCCCUUCUUUGUGAAAAUAAACAAGAGAAGGCUUCUCUCUAUAUUUCUUGUCAUUGGAAUUAGCACCAUAUCUGAUCCAUCACUUAUUGUGGACCAGAAAGUACAGUUUUUGUGGUGAUAUUGUGUUCCCCAAAAUAUUGUACAUUCUAAUAAACUUAUCUGGGGUCAGAGAACAGAACAGCCACUAGAUAUAAAGGCCAGAAAAUGGUGGCACA